rnacentral:rRNA from 1 species
AGUGAACGCUGGCGGUAGGCCUAACACAUGCAAGUCGAACGGCAGCACAGUAAGAGCUUGCUCUUACGGGUGGCGAGUGGCGGACGGGAGAGGAAUACAUCGGAAUCUACUUUUUCGGGGGGGAUAACGUAGGGAAACUUACGCUAAUACCGCAUACGACCUACGGGGGAAAGCAGGGGAUCUUCGGACCUUGCGCGAUUGAAUGAGCCGAUGUCGGAUUAGCUAGUUGGCGGGGUAAAUGCCCACCAAGGCGCCGAUCCGUAGCUGGACUGGGAGGAUGAUCGGCGACACUGGAACUGGAACACGGUCCAGACUCCUACGGGAGGCAGCAGUGGGGAAUAUUGGACAAAGGGCGCAAGCCUGAUCCAGCCAUACCGCGUGGGUGAAGAAGGCCUUCGGGUUGUAAAGACCUUUUGUUGGGAAAGAAAAGCAGCAGGUUAAUACCCAGCUGUUCUGACGGUACCCAAAGAAUAAGCACCGGCUAACUUCGUG